CCUACGGGGGGCAGCAGUGGGGAAUAUUGCACAAUGGGGGAAACCCUGAUGCAGCAACGCCGCGUGAGCGAUGAAGGCCUUCGGGUCGUAAAGCACUUUAAGUUGGGAGGAAGGGCAGUUACCUAAUACGUGAUUGUUUUGACGUUACCGACAGAAUAAGCACCGGCUAACUCUGUGCCAGCAGUCGCGGUAAUACAGAGGGUGCAAGCGGUAAUCGGAAUUACUGGGCGUAAAGCGCGCGUAGGUGGUUAGUUAAGUUGGAUGUGAAAUCCCCGGGCUCAACCUGGGAACUGCAUUCAAAACUGACUGACUAGAGUAUGGUAGAGGGUGGUGGAAUUCCCAGUGUAGCGGUGAAAUGCGUAGAUAUUGGGAGGAACACCAGUUGCGAAGGCGGCUCUCUGGACUGUAACUGACGCUGAGGCACGAAAGCGUGGGGAGCGAACAGGAUUAGAUACCCUGGUAGUC
rnacentral:rRNA from 1 species